rnacentral:rRNA from 1 species
CUACGUGCCAGCAGCCGCGGUAAUACGGAAGGUCCAGGCGUUAUCCGGAUUUAUUGGGUUUAAAGGGAGUGUAGGCGGUUUGUUAAGCGUGUUGUGAAAUUUAGAUGCUCAACAUUUAACUUGCAGCGCGAACUGUCAGACUUGAGUACACGCAACGUAUGCGGAAUUCAUGGUGUAGCGGUGAAAUGCUUAGAUAUCAUGAAGAACUCCGAUUGCGAAGGCAGCAUACGGGAGUGUAACUGACGCUUAAGCUCGAAGGUGCGGGUAUCGAACAGGAUUAGAUACCCUGGUAGUCCGCACAGUAAACGAUGGAUGCCCGCUGUUAGCGCCUGGCGUUAGCGGCUAAGCGAAAGCAUUAAGCAUCCCACCUGGGGAGUACGCCGGCAACGGUGAAACUCAAAGGAAUUGACGGGGGCCCGCACAAGCGGAGGAACAUGUGGUUUAAUUCGAUGAUACGCGAGGAACCUUACCCGGGCUUGAAUUGCAGAUG